rnacentral:rRNA from 1 species
GGGGAAUAUUGCACAAUGGGGGAAACCCUGAUGCAGCGACGCCGCGUGAAGGAUGAAGUAUUUCGGUAUGUAAACUUCUAUCAGCAGGGAAGAAGAUGACGGUACCUGACUAAGAAGCCCCGGCUAACUACGUGCCAGCAGCCGCGGUAAUACGUAGGGGGCAAGCGUUAUCCGGAUUUACUGGGUGUAAAGGGAGCGUAGACGGCGAUGCAAGCCAGAUGUGAAAGCCCGGGGCUCAACCCCGGGACUGCAUUUGGAACUGCGUGGCUGGAGUGUCGGAGAGGCAGGCGGAAUUCCUAGUGUAGCGGUGAAAUGCGUAGAUAUUAGGAGGAACACCAGUGGCGAAGGCGGCCUGCUGGACGAUGACUGACGUUGAGGCUCGAAAGCGUGGGGAGCAAACA